rnacentral:tRNA from 1 species
GCCAACAUGGCUCAAUGGUUGAGCAUCGAGCUAUGAACCAGGAGGUCAUGGUUCAAUUCCAAGUCAGGGCA